ACGUAGGGUGCGAGCGUUAAUCGGAAUUACUGGGCGUAAAGCGUGCGCAGGCGGUUUGAUAAGCCAGAUGUGAAAUCCCCGGGCUUAACCUGGGAACUGCAUUUGGAACUGUCAGACUAGAGUAUAGCAGAGGGGGGUAGAAUUCCACGUGUAGCAGUGAAAUGCGUAGAGAUGUGGAGGGAUACCAAUGGCGAAGGCAGCCCCCUGGGUUAAUACUGACGCUCAUGCACGAAAGCGUGGGGAGCAAACAGGAUUAGAUACCCUGGUAGUCCACGCCCUAAACGAUGUCAACUAGGUGUUGGGGAAGGAGACUUCUUUAGUACCGCAGCUAACGCGUGAAGUUGACCGCCUGGGGAGUACGGUCGCAAGAUUA
rnacentral:rRNA from 1 species